GUCCCGCAACGAGCGCAACCCUUAUCCUUUGUUGCCAGCGAUUCGGUCGGGAACUCAAAGGAGACUGCCAGUGAUAAACUGGAGGAAGGUGGGGAUGACGUCAAGUCAUCAUGGCCCUUACGACCAGGGCUACACACGUGCUACAAUGGCGCAUACAAAGAGAAGCGACCUCGCGAGAGCAAGCGGACCUCAUAAAGUGCGUCGUAGUCCGGAUUGGAGUCUGCAACUCGACUCCAUGAAGUCGGAAUCGCUAGUAAUCGUGGAUCAGAAUGCCACGGUGAAUACGUUCCCGGGCCUUGUACACACCGCCCGUCACACCAUGGGAGUGGGUUGCAAAAGAAGUAGGUAGCUUAACCUUCGGGAGGGCGCUUACCACUUUGUGAUUCAUGACUGGGGUGAAGUCGUAACAAGGUAACCGUAGGGGAACCUGCGGUUGGAUCACCUCCUUACCUUAAAGAAGC
rnacentral:rRNA from 1 species